rnacentral:rRNA from 1 species
UGUCGUGAGAUGUUGGGUUAAGUCCCGCAACGAGCGCAACCCUUGUCAUUAGUUGCCAUCAUUUGGUUGGGCACUCUAAUGAGACUGCCGGUGGACAAACCGGAGGAAGGUGGGGAUGACGUCAAGUCCUCAUGGCCCUUAUGGGUAGGGCUUCACACGUCAUACAAUGGUCGGUACAGAGGGUUGCCAACCCGCGAGGGGGAGCUAAUCCCACAAAGCCGAUCGUAGUCCGGAUCGCAGUCUGCAACUCGACUGCGUGAAGUCGGAAUCGCUAGUAAUCGUGGAUCAGCAUGUCACGGUGAAUACGUUCCCGGGUCUU